rnacentral:rRNA from 1 species
GACGAACCGAGCGAACGUUGUUCGGAAUCACUGGGCUUAAAGGGCGCGUAGGCGGGCCAUCAAGUCAGGGGUGAAAUCCUCCAGCUCAACUGGAGAACAGCUUUUGAUACUGGUGGUCUCGAGUGGGGUAGGGGCAUGUGGAACUUCCGGUGGAGCGGUGAAAUGCGUAGAUAUCGGAAGGAACGCCGGUGGCGAAAGCGACGUGCUGGACACUUUCUGACGCUGAGGCGCGAAAGCCAGGGGAGCAAACGGG